CAGCAUUCUUAAACCCUCUUGGUAGCCUUGCUGUAAACGCUUCCAAGAUAUGAGUGAAUGCGACAGAAAAUGGCAGAUUAAUCCAAAGUGCUAAGUAUUUUCUUUUGACUUGGCAUUAUUUCAGAUCUGUGACAAUUU
rfam:Sarcophilus harrisii ctg7180001399920, whole genome shotgun sequence.